UUACGAUAAUGGCAAACCUUGCGAAAGUGAGGGACGCAAAGCUACGGGUCUAAGGUUCCAAGGAAUGAUGAUCGCCGGGCCACCGAA
rnacentral:ncRNA from 1 species